GGCUGGGGGCCGCGAGGGGCGCAGCGUUUUUGUCUGCCUGACGGUCAAGCAGGCACGGCCGCCCUGAGAGCAGCCUGCAGAGGCAGAAGCUACCAGAGCGGCGUUGUCAGACUCGAGCUGCAGAAGCACGGGGUUGCCCGGGACCGGCGCCCACAGUCCGGCACAAGAGGGGUUCUCUCUAUGCCCCCUAGGCUGGAGUGCAGUGGCAGUGGCUAUUCAUAAGCAUGUGCAGUACAGCCUCCAACUCCUGGGUUCAAGGGAUCCUCCCACCUCAGUCUCCCAAGUAGCUGGGAUUAUAGGCAUGCAGGAGGAAGAAUGAAAUGACCUAAAGCCACCGAGUUUUUCAUUUCAGCAUUAGCUACUGCAGAGAGAUAGUAGGCGUGAAAAACUGUAGCAUUGUCUUCUAUGUAAUCAAGGCUCUGAUAUAUUCUAGGAGAAAGAAAGGAAAUCUUUUAGGUUAUGAAAUAAGAAUGCAUUUAACCUUUCAAAAGAAUGAAUAAAUGACUGGAAGUAGGGGUUGGUUACAUGAAAGCAUACAUUCAUGCUGGUCCUUUUUUUCUGGCAAGGAAGUAAGAAUAUAUGGCUUGAGAUAUUAGUAGUUUUGGGGCCUAAACCUAGGCAAAUUUCAGCUUUAGAGACUUCGUUAAGGAUUAAAUGAAUUAGGAAACUUGACCUAAAACAGUGCUGUUUACUGCACAGCAACAGUAGAUUGUGAGCCAGUAGCCUAUGAGUUUUAUCCAUAGUCACUGUUUUAUGAAGAGGGAUCAAUUAAUUCUGAGGUAGGGAGUAGGCCUGCAGCCUUCACAUAUAGAAGGCAACAUCUUUCCUAGAGGUGGAGAUAAGAGGAGGAGCAUGAGGGAGGGUGGUCGUGCUGGGGAAGAGGUGAUCAAGGUGCUACUAAGAGAAUGGCAGUGAAGAGGAAGAACAAUUAGGGGGAUUCAGUUAUUUGGGCACUGACUGAGAGGGUAGGAGAUGUUAUUAAAAGAGACUUGGAAGGUUUUAAGUUUGGAGAACACAGGACCUGGUGCAGGUAGGAGGGGUAAUCAGGAGAUUUGGUUUAGACAUUGAGCAUGAGGGGCCUUCGAGGCGCCACGUGGAGGUGUGGGAGAGACAGCUGGAAGCACACAGCUGGGAUUCGGGAAGGGACCUGAGGACCACGUGGAAGGCCAUGCCACUGCGGCGGAAAGGAAAGGGGUAAGGUUAUCUAUUUUUCUCCCACACCUAGGACUGAAACCUUGUUCGUUUCUGGUCUCACCCUAUCAUCAAUGUUUAUUAAUGGGUUGCAAUUUCCAUCCCGAACUCCGAGCUCAUCAUGACCCAAGAGGCAAUGCCGAGUGGCCCGCCGGUACCUCAGCGUGUCUGGGUGCGAGGCAUCACAGCUGAACAGGAAGUCGGCAGCCCGCGGGUCACUGAUCGUCCCCCCUUCGGCCACUGUGGAGGCAAGAGCACAGGGUGAGACCACCAGGCACCCUGGAACCGAGGCACCAGAGGGAGAAGCGAUGCUGCCCUUGCCACCGCACCCACCCCUUCGGCUCAGCUUCCUACCCCAGAACUGCCUCAGGUCCGGGCUGACGCUGCCGCUGAACCAACCGCGCUGCCCUUGAAACAUGGCGCCACUUAGCCCGCGAGGCCGGGCAAGGGAGGGUCCAGAACCGAGGUCACUGAUUGGUCCCAGGUCCGAAGCCGAGCUCCAUGAUUGGUCGCCAAGAGCAAUGGGGGCGGGAAAGGCCUGAGGCACUUGGAAGAGGGGUGGUCGCCACCUGGCUGCGCGGACCCAUUCUUCGGGAUGGUUUGAGGCCUCCCAGCUUUCUCCUGAUAGAGGAAGGAGGGUCGCUGGAGCUGGUGAGUUUGAAAGCCUAAGUAUUAACGAAGUUAUUCUGCUGUGUUGCACCAGCAUAUGUACAGAUUCUGUGGCGUCAGGUAUUAUUUUAAAGCAAAACCCAUUUUAUCAUUUCAUCUAUAAAUGUUUCAAAAUGAAACCUUUGAGGACUGUUUAAAAAACACAACUAUGAUACCAUUAUAGCACUUCUAAGAUACUUCUUUAAUAUAGUCAAAUACUGCCAGUGUUCAGGUUUCCAUUUUUCUCAAAAGUGUUGUUUUUCUUUUAGUUUCUCUCCUCUUACAUCAGUUGUGUUAGAUUUGUUUGGUGUUGGGCCCUUUUAAUCUAAAAUUUCAAAGUUAUUGGUGUAAAGUUGUCCACAAAAUCUUUCUAUCUUUUUUUAAUGUCUGUAGGUUCUCUAGUCAUGGUUCUUUUUUCAUUUCUGACACUGAUUUUUUGAGCCUUUUCGCUUUUUAUUGCCUGGUAUCAUCUGAGGCCUGUCAAUUUUAUUAUCCUUUUCUAAAGAACUUCUGAUUUGGUACUCUCCUUAUAUAUUUCUUUUCUAUGUCAUUAAUUUUAGCUCCUUAUAAUUUCCUUCCACUUUCCUUGGUUUUAACUUCUUU